GUGCUUAACACAUGCAAGUCGAACGGAAAGGCCCUGCUUUUGUGGGGUGCUCGAGUGGCGAACGGGUGAGUAACACGUGAGUAACCUGCCCUUGACUUUGGGAUAACUUCAGGAAACUGGGGCUAAUACCGGAUAGGAGCUCCUGCUGCAUGGUGGGGGUUGGAAAGUUUCGGCGGUUGGGGAUGGACUCGCGGCUUAUCAGCUUGUUGGUGGGGUAGUGGCUUACCAAGGCUUUGACGGGUAGCCGGCCUGAGAGGGUGACCGGCCACAUUGGGACUGAGAUACGGCCCAGACUCCUACGGGAGGCAGCAGUGGGGAAUAUUGCACAAUGGGCGGAAGCCUGAUGCAGCAACGCCGCGUGCGGGAUGACGGCCUUCGGGUUGUAAACCGCUUUCGCCUGUGACGAAGCGUGAGUGACGGUAAUGGGUAAAGAAGCACCGGCUAACUACGUGCCAGCAGCCGCGGUGAUACGUAGGGUGCGAGCGUUGUCCGGAUUUAUUGGGCGUAAAGGGCUCGUAGGUGGUUGAUCGCGUCGGAAGUGUAAUCUUGGGGCUUAACCCUGAGCGUGCUUUCGAUACGGGUUGACUUGAGGAAGGUAGGGGAGAAUGGAAUUCCUGGUGGAGCGGUGGAAUGCGCAGAUAUCAGGAGGAACACCAGUGGCGAAGGCGGUUCUCUGGGCCUUUCCUGACGCUGAGGAGCGAAAGCGUGGGGAGCGAACAGGCUUAGAUACCCUGGUAGUCCACGCUGUAAACGGUGGGUACUAGGUGUGGGGUCCAUUCCACGGGUUCCGUGCCGUAGCUAACGCUUUAAGUACCCCGCCUGGGGAGUACGGCCGCAAGGCUAAAACUCAAAGGAAUUGACGGGGCCCCGCACAAGCGGCGGAGCAUGCGGAUUAAUUCGAUGCAACGCGUAGAACCUUACCUGGGUUUGACAUGGAUCGGGAGUGCUCAGAGAUGGGUGUGCCUCUUUUGGGGUCGGUUCACAGGUGGUGCAUGGCUGUCGUCAGCUCGUGUCGUGAGAUGUUGGGUUAAGUCCCGCAACGAGCGCAACCCUUGUUCACUGUUGCCAGCACGUUAUGGUGGGGACUCAGUGGAGACCGCCGGGGUCAACUCGGAGGAAGGUGGGGAUGACGUCAAGUCAUCAUGCCCCUUAUGUCCAGGGCUUCACGCAUGCUACAAUGGCUGGUACAGAGAGUGGCGAGCCUGUGAGGGUGAGCGAAUCUCGGAAAGCCGGUCUCAGUUCGGAUUGGGGUCUGCAACUCGACCUCAUGAAGUCGGAGUCGCUAGUAAUCGCAGAUCAGCAACGCUGCGGUGAAUACGUUCCCGGGGCUUGUACACACCGCCCGUCAAGUCAUGAAAGUUGGUAACACCCGAAGCCGGUGGCCUAACCGUUGUGGGGGAGCCGUCGAAGGUGGGACUGGUGA
rnacentral:rRNA from 1 species